rnacentral:rRNA from 1 species
AUUGAACGCUGGCGGCAGGCUUAACACAUGCAAGUCGAGCGGGCACUUUCGGGUGUCAGCGGCGGACGGGUGCGUAACGCGUGGGAACGUGCCCUCUGGUUCGGAAUAACUCAGGGAAACUUGAGCUAAUACCGGAUACGCCCUUUUGGGGAAAGGCUUGCUGCCGGAGGAUCGGCCCGCGUCUGAUUAGCUAGUUGGUGAGGUAACGGCUCACCAAGGCGACGAUCAGUAGCUGGUCUGAGAGGAUGAUCAGCCACACUGGGACUGAGACACGGCCCAGACUCCUACGGGAGGCAGCAGUGGGGAAUAUUGGACAAUGGGCGCAAGCCUGAUCCAGCCAUGCCGCGUGAGUGAUGAAGGCCUUAGGGUUGUAAAGCUCUUUUAUCCGGGACGAUAAUGACGGUACCGGAGGAAUAAGCCCCGGCUAACUUCGUG